GGGGCAGUAGCUCAACGGUCAGAGCAACGUCCUUAUAAGACGUCGGUCGCAGGUUCAAGUCCCGUCUGCCCCACC
rnacentral:tRNA from 1 species